AUCCACCUCGGCUCCUGGUUGCAGCAACUGCUGUGGCAGUAUGUGGAGGUAGGGAGGGGUUCUCACUCUCUGCUUGUAAGCCUGAGCACAGAGUUUGUGCUGCUGCUGGGGGCAGGAUUGCUUCUCACAGCCCCAGACAGGGAAGCUCUCAGGCUCUAGAAAGCAUACACUUUAUUUUCCUUUGUCCGGGGCUGCCUUUUUUGUGCAGUGCAAUUUUCCAGGAUUUCAUGGAUUUCUUUUUGAUUGGGAUCUGUUGUUGCGGAGUAGUACUCCCUGUGAGCUAGAGUACUGGGGACCCUACAGCACCUUUGGGGCCAGCCAGUGCUGUGCCACUGUAGCCCUCUGGGUGGACACUGGGGGAUGUCAGUGAAGGCUCCUGGGAUGUGGACAGAUGGGAGCUGUAGUUCCCAGGGCAGGAUGCAGUCUCAUGAUGGCUGUGCUCUCCCAGUAGUGCCCUGUUGCAGCUGCUUAGGUCUCAGGGGGUGUGAGUGACCCAGUAUGAAUUCCCUGUCAGUGUAAUGUCCUUGCAGGGUCUGCAGGUCAUUCCCCAUGCUAGCAUCAGGGUUUGUGUGGUUAGAGGAGCUUCCCAUGGCUGGGGUUACAGUAGUUUGUUGUGGGGAGAAUUGGACCACUGAUGUUCUCUCACUUACCCUUCCCCACAAUAGCGAGCACCUCUGGCUCCCAACUUCUCCUGACUGAGCUGGCCACUCGCUUCCUUCUCCUCUGUGCCUCAGGCGCUUGCUGAGACUUCUCUGUUGGACUCUAGUGCUCUCUCCUGGAUGUUCUAUUCGAGGUGUGCUUAUCUCUUCAUAAUUUUGGGUCUUCUUUCUGGAGAGGGUGAGUGUCCAAUGUCUCUAGUCAGCCAUCUUGAACCUGAAUCCUCAAUAGAGUAUUUCUAUUUUAAGACUGGGGAGAGUAUAUGGAUUUUAAGAACUUUUGCAGUAAUCAUAUUGGUGGUAAUAUUAAUAUGAUUAUUCUGAGAUUUGUGUGUGUGUAGUAUGAGGUAAAAACAAGUGAGUAAUUAUGGAAUAUACUAAUUCCAUGAUCCUCUGCAUCUUUGAGAACCAGAAUUCUCAUAUAGCAAAAGGAGAUACAGAUAUAAUAGAAAACAGGUUACAUAAAAUUGAGUUGAACUUGGAAUGAUCAAUGUGGAUGCAUCAGGCAUUUUAUUUAUAUUUUCUAAUUCUACCUACUGUAUAGGCCUGAAAACAAUGAUCAACCCAGAAGGAAUGAGUAUCCUUUGUGCGUGCACAGAUUGUGGAACAAUCUACAAUUCUCACCACAAUUUCUCAUUUACAAAAAAGGGCUUCUUAGAGAAAUGGUUGAUUCCAGGACUUAGGCAAGAAAUGAAUAUGACAAGCCUGGAAUGUCUUAUAUUAUCAGAAAGAAAACUACUAGGGUCUCAUUGUAUAUUACUAGGGGCAUGUCAAAAGGAUUCAGAGGACAGGUUUAAAGCACUUCUAAGCCAAAGAUGGGACAAUUUGAGCUCCAAUAAU
rnacentral:lncRNA from 1 species